ACGUGUGACUGCGCGCUGAGCUGGGUCGUUGAGGAGGCGUGGCUGGAGGAGGAGACGGAGCUGGGCACGUGCGAGGCGCCGUAUCAUCUUCGCGGCGAGUCGGUCGCCACGGUCGCCGCGUGUGACAUGUGCGGAAGCUGCACGACGCCCGUCGCCACCGGCGCGACGGAUGGCACCACCUACACGCCGACGACGGAGUCGACCGCUGCCGGUCGUCUGCAUCUGAGUGGCAUGGCGGCCAUGACGUGUCUACUCGCGCUGGCUGUGAUGCGCUCAUAACGAAAGACAUCAUAUCAUUUCACAUCUAAACGAUGGAGAAACUACUUGCUUGCUGAAGUGACAUCAGCUUCAUCCCCCCAGCCACCAGAGGGAGUAGCUAGCUACUACAUACACUGUUAGUUGGGCGCUGCUACGAGACUAAACCGCCCGUAUACAUGUUAUCAAGAGAUAAUAAUACAUUAGUAUAACUAUAAUACAAUAAGACGUUACAAUAAUAAUAAUUAAAAGGCUGUAGCGCGACCGCCUGUAAUUGGUUGUCUCUACUGAAUGGCUGGUCACAUGGUCACGACUACACAGCUGGGCAUGUACCGAAAAUAGAACAAUAGAAUAAUUGUGGUUCUACCACUUUUCUCUUGCUAAUUGCUUACUGUGUACUUCUGCGGUAUUACACUUUGCCUGCUUCUGUCCAUACAAUUUUACUCGUAGUUAAAAAAUAUUCUGAUUUUAUCAAUGCGAAAUUUACGUACCUGUAGUUGGUAAGUUGUAAUCAUGUUGAGUAGUAGAUAGUUAAUAAGAUUUUUAGCAGAAUUUAUAUAUUGUACUAUAUGUUGUGGACUUUAUAUUAUAUCAUUGGUGGUGCUAUCACUGGGGAACAAUAUAUUUGAUACUUAGUGAAAUUUUGUGGUUGUUAUAAAAUGUAUGCAGGCGAGUAAAUUGUGAUUGUAUUGCAGCCGUGUAACCUACUGAAUUGAUUACAUUUGUUUUAAAAUAGAAAUAAAUGUAUUGUGACUCUUGAUCGUGGAGUUUGCUUGA